AUUGAACGCUGGCGGCAUGCCUUACACAUGCAAGUCGAACGGCAGCACGGACUUCGGUCUGGUGGCGAGUGGCGAACGGGUGAGUAACGCAUCGGAACGUACCAUUGAGUGGGGGAUAACGUAGCGAAAGUUACGCUAAUACCGCAUAUUCUCUCCGGAGGAGAGCAGGGGAUCGUAAGACAUUGUGCUCUUUGAGCGGCCGGUGUAGGAUUAGCUAGUUGGUGGGGUAAAGGCCCACCAAGGCUACGAUCCGUAGCCGGUCUGAGAGGAUGAUCAGCCACACUGGGAAUGAGACACGGCCCAGACUCCUACGGGAGGCAGCAGUGGGGAAUUUUGGACAAUGGGCGCAAGCCUGAUCCAGCCAUUCCGCGUGCAGGAUGAAGGCCUUCGGGUUGUAAACUGCUUUUGUACAGAACGAAAAGGCUCUGGUUAAUACCCGGGGCUCAUGACGGUACUGUAAGAAUAAGCACCGGCUAACUACGUGCCAGCCGCCGCGGUAA
rnacentral:rRNA from 1 species